AUUGAACGCUGGCGGCAGGCCUAACACAUGCAAGUCGAGCGAGCGGCGGACGGGUGAGUAAUGUAUGGGGACUGCCCCAGAGGGAGGGAUAACUACAGGAAACGGUAUCUAAUACCGCAUACUAUCGGAUAACCCAUAUGGGAGUAGCUAGUAGGUGAGGUAAUGGCUCACCGAGGCGACGCGCCCUAGCUGGUCUGAGAGGAUGAGCAGCCACACUGGGACUGAGACACGGUCCAGACUCCUACGGAGGCAGCAGUGGGGAAUAUUGCACAAUGGGCGCAAGCCUGAUGCAGCCAUGCCGCGUGUAUGAAGAAGGCCCUAGGGUUGUAAAGGACUUUCAGCCGGGAGGCGUUACCGACAGAAGAAGCACCGGCUAACUCCGUGCCAGCAGCCGCGGUAAUUC
rnacentral:rRNA from 1 species